UAUUACUUUGUGUCUCUUAGUCAACCUGAUCUGGUCUAUGUUCGUGGGGAGGGCUUCAUGGGCAUGUCCACCCCAUGUCCACUCCCCCCGCACUCGCCCAUGCUGUCGCACAGACCAAAGCAGGCACUCCCGCACCCACUCCCUCAUAUCGAGGGGCACCAUCCAGCACCCCUCCCCCACUAAUGAUCCUUCCGCAGGUUCACCUACGGAAA
rnacentral:misc_RNA from 1 species